AUUGAACGCUGGCGGCAUGCUUUACACAUGCAAGUCGAACGGUAACAGGUUAAGCUGACGAGUGGCGAACGGGUGAGUAAUGCAUCGGAACGUGCCCGAUCGUGGGGGAUAACGCAGCGAAAGCUGCGCUAAUACCGCAUACGAUCUGAGGAUGAAAGCGGGGGACCGUAAGGCCUCGCGCGAUCGGAGCGGCCGAUGUCAGAUUAGGUAGUUGGUGGGGUAAAGGCUCACCAAGCCAACGAUCUGUAGCUGGUCUGAGAGGACGACCAGCCAAACUGGGACUGAGACACGGCCCAGACUCAUACGGGAGGCAGCAGUGGGGAAUUUUGGACAAUGGGCGAAAGCCUGAUCCAGCAAUGCCGCGUGCAGGAAGAAGGCCUUCGGGUUGUAAACUGCUUUUGUACGGAGCGAAAAGGCCCUCUCUAAUACAGGGGGUUUAUGACGGUACCGUAAGAAUAAGCACCGGCUAACUACGUGCCAGCAGCCGCCGUAA
rnacentral:rRNA from 1 species